rnacentral:rRNA from 1 species
UACAGAGGUCUCAAGCGUUGUUCGGAAUUACUGGGCGUAAAGCGUGCGCAGGCGGCUUUGCAAGACAGAUGUGAAAUCCCCGGGCUUAACCUGGGAACUGCAUUUGUGACUGCAAGGCUAGAGUACGGUAGAGGGGGAUGGAAUUCCGCGUGUAGCAGUGAAAUGCGUAGAUAUGCGGAGGAACACCGAUGGCGAAGGCAAUCCCCUGGACCUGUACUGACGCUCAUGCACGAAAGCGUGGGGAGCAAACAGG